AAACCAACAGGGAUUGCCCUAGUAAUGGCGAAUGAACAGGCAAAAGCUCAGAUUUGAAACCCUCGGGAUUGUAGUCUGGAGAUCGGCGACUGGAUUGCUGGCCAAGUUCCCUGGAACGGGACGCCAUGGAGGGUGACAGCCCCGUAGCAGCACCACUGUAGUCGCCGUUCAACGAGUCGAGUUGUUUGGGAAUGCAGCUCUAAGUGGGUGGUAUGCUCCAUCUAAAGCUAAAUAUUGGCGAGAGACCGAUAGCGAACAAGUACUGUGAAGGAAAGAUGAAAAGAACUUUGAAAAGAGAGUGAAAUAGUACGUGAAAUUGUUGAAAUGGAAGGCUAUGCGCCGCGAUUGACGCCCGCGUUUUGCAGUGGGACAAACGCGCAGACCGCUUCGGCACUGUCUGCGCUCCUACCACCACAGGACCAGGGCGUCUAACAACGGCGCAUCGCAC
rnacentral:rRNA from 1 species